GGGAAGGUCGCCAUGGUGACCGCGGGGUGAUGGAGGCAUCGCCUCAGCGCGGCUCGGCCCGGGCCCUCUGAGGGGAGGCGGCCGCGCCCCGCCCCGCUUCAGCCUCGCCCCGGCUCCGGGCAGGCCCCGAGGUUCCAGCGGGGGCCGAAGGAGGCGCUGCGGCUUUGUCCGAGCUCCCCGCCCGCUGCCCCGGCCUUGUGCCUGCCUCCGCGGGAGGGAGCUCGGGGCGCACCUGUGAGGGCCGCUGGCAAAAACAGGGGGAGCCGGAGCCGAGCUCACGAGGCGCUGCUGUUGGUUCGCACGGAAACAAAUCGGUCACCUCUCUGCCACACGGACACUGCUGGGGUUUCUAAAGGGAAGCCUCCUUCCCCCUGGCCAGAGCAGUGCCCGGAGCCAGGAGCAUGGAGACCUGUCCUCACCUGCCUCAGCGUGUAGCCAAACAUCUCUAUAGCCCCCUGCCCGUGGGCACAGGGACCUCAGGGUUCCUUCACAGCAGUGAGCCUGGGAAGAACCGGCGCUGCAGGAGGAACGUACAGCGCCAGCCAAAGCAUGCCAUGCCCCGUGAAAGGCGAUCGCGUGGAAAACAGCAGCUAGGGAGGAGAUCUGUCAUCUGCACAAGGAGGAAAUGGGUAAAACAGACCCCACACCCGGGUGAUGGAGUUGUUUUUGUUGUGAAAUCUCCUUCAUAACAUCUAAGUGAAAACCAACCCCAAAGCACUCAGACGGCUUCUGCCCAGCACAGCUGGGAAUGACAGCCCCUCCCAGUCACUACAGUUCCCUAAAUAGUCCAUGGUGGGACUACAGAGGCAGCACUAUAAAGACCAAGGCACUGUUAAGGGACUCAGGGAGGAUGCUCUGUAAUAUACCUGAGCCCAGAUAUCUUAAUGGUAUUUUCAGCCUUAAAAAGAAAUCCAUAAAACUUGCUCAAUUACUUGUAUUACUGUUAGAAGUUAGUGGCCAGGACUGUUGAUUUACUGCUGCUGCUGUCUCUUGGUUCCGUUCCCCAGCCAGAGCUGGUCUCUUCAGACAGUCUGUGCUCAGGACAAUGCUGGCAUUCAGUGACUUGAGCCCCAAACAGACCAAAACCUAAUCCUGGCAACCCAGAGGAGAGUCCUCAGGGCUGUGGCAGCUUUUUGCCCUGCCUCCCAAGUACAAACACUUGCAGCCCAACAUCCUGGGAGAUCCUGGGAUCCAGCACUGUCACGGAUCAAGGUCCUUCUGUGGGUGGCAGCAGGAGAUACGAGAUGGGGCUGGCAGAGAAAGGCAGAGGUGGUGGCGAGGCUGUCCAGAAGCAGGAGUAAACCUGCCCUCGGGCAGCAGGAGCAGGCACAGCACAGCCCGUACAGACUCACGGGGCUGUUAACUCGUUUUCCAGCUGGCAGGAAAAGGCACCCUGAAGACCUGCCACCCCCCAAGACAGACGCCCUCCCUCUUUGUCUGCCCUCUCAAUCCUUUGCAGGUGGUGAGCAGCUGGAGGCACAGCCAAGGUGAUUUUUAUCACUUCCACUGAGUGCACGAUUUUGCCCUCUGGGCCUUCAAGCGUGGCUACGUGUUAGGAAGAAAAUCCCAGCUUGGCUUUCGGAUUGCCACCUGGAGCGAGCAAACCCCACAGAGGGGAAAAGCCCUGUUUAUACAUCAGCAGGGCAAGUGGAGCUUGUAAUCGCAUCCGGCACUCCAGCCUGCUGUGCUCACUUUUAAUCCCCUUCUCCACGUGGUGCAGCGCCUCUGCUCAGGUGGAAACUGCACACAAGGUCCUGGGCCCGCACGAGGAGGCUGGGAGAUAGCACUGGUGGUUCUCGGGGGCACCAUUUCCCCCUCUCCAUGUGAAAUUCCGUCAGACACAGGCCAAGCAGGACAAUGCUUCUCUCACCAGAAGGCGGACAGCAAAAGAAAAGCCAGGAGAGUUUUGCUCCUGUUUUGUCCAACACAAGGGCCCUACACCACCCCAAACUCCCCAGCCUUGGGGCACGAGCCCCAGGCACCGGAUUGCAAAGAAGCAAAAGGAGCUGGCACUGAUUUAAGGCCAGCUGCUGCCCUCCCACUGUGUCUUACAUCCCUGGGCUAAGGGAGCUGGGCUUUACACGCUUCUCCCUUCUGGUUAAUAAAACACUG